UGACCCAUGGAUCAUUCAGGUCGAGUCGGAUCCUUGUAUGGCCCAGUCCUAACCUAAAAAAUUUGGGUUCAGAUCAAGUCUGAGUUGGAUCCCUGUACUUGUUAUUUCUUAUAUUUAAUUUUUUUUAAUCCUAUUUCAAGGUUAACUUGGCUUGGUUUUGGGUGGUGGUGGACAGUGAAGUGAGAAAGAAACAUAGAAGGAAGAGUUGUACGGUGAAGAAAAGGGGUAGGGUGUUGCAUUUGAGAGGGCCAGGUAGAGAUGUAUCUAGGGUCGUCUUUCCAAGACUUUAGCUUUGCAGU
rnacentral:lncRNA from 1 species